AACUGUUAUUACUUUCAUAUAAGCUCUUUCUGUUGUGUCGCUCAGACGCCCGACUGUGGCUUGUAUUGCUUAUCCUUCUAAGGUGUCGCCUCACACGCCCGAUAGACAAGCUCAUAAUUGAUUAUACCUUGGCUUGCUCGCUUAUAAAUUAUUGGUAGGAGUGAAUUUACUGCAUGAAUGCGUAUGUGAAUUGAUUUUGUCGCAU
rnacentral:lncRNA from 1 species